UCCACCAUGGUCCUAGUGACUGGGCCGGC
rnacentral:sRNA from 1 species